rnacentral:lncRNA from 10 species
AAAAAAUAAAUUUAUAAUUAAAAACUUUCCCACAAAUAAUAUCCAGGCCCAAGUGGUUUCACUGACAAUUUCUAUCAAAAACCUAGGAAAGGUAUUCGAGGAAGGAAGACUUUCAAAUUGACUUUAUAAUCUUAAUAUUAAAUUUUAUAGCUAAACCAGACAAAAACAUCACUAUAAAAGAGAGCUAAACUAAUAGUGCAAAUGAUAUGGCUUCAAAAAUUCUUAAAAGAUGAGCAAAACUUUUUCAAUUAUGUAUACAUAUAUUAUGGCCAAAUGUACUUUUUAUUUCCCCUGGAAAUUAAAUUGGGACUAAUAUCUAAAAUUCAAUAAAUAUCUAUCAUAAUGAUAAUAAAAAACAAUAUGAUCAUAUCAAUAGAUAUAGAAAAUUAUUUGAUUAAAUACAAUACCUUUAUAUUACAUAAACUACCAAUAACUAAGAAUGUAAGUGUGCUUCUAUAGUUUGGUGGGUUUUUAAAAUUUAUCAUGCCAGGAAUUCCAGUCCUAGGUGACUAUCUGAGAGAAGUAAAAAUAAAUACAUGCACACAAAAUUUUUAGUAGCAUUAUUCAUAAAAAUCAGUGAGUAGAAACAACUGAAAUCAACAUGUGAAUAAUUCUAUCAACAUGUGAAUAAUUCUAAAAUGUAGUUUCACCAUACAAUGAAAUACUACUUAACAAAAAGAUAAAUAUAACUAAGAGUACAAUGUGGAUGAACCUAAAAAUAAUAUAUGCUAAGUAAAAGAAUCCAGUCACAAAAUUCCACAUAUUGUAUGACUCCAUUUGUAUUAAUUAUCUGGAAAAGGUAAACCGAGAGAGAGAGAGUAGAUUAGUGAUCUGCUAGCCUAGGAACAAGAAUACUGGUUAAAUGGAAAUUAGCAUAAAGAAUUAUUAUGGAGUAAAGCAAGUGUUCUAAAAGUGGAUUAAGAUGGUUACACAACUCUGCAAAUUUACAAAAUACAUCAUAAAAUUUUACACUUAAAGUGCAUACCUUUAUUAUAUGUGUUAUACCUCAAUAUAGCUAUUUAAAAAUGAAAUAAAUAAAUAAAUGGAACAAUAAGUAGUGAUGUAUGAAAUGAAAGAUUUAAUAAAAUAUUUUAUUAAGAUUAAAAAAUACUCUUCAAAAAUGAAAUUCAGUAAAUCAAAAAGAAACCACAGACUAUGAGAAAAUAUAGGGAACACAUUUAUCUGAUGAAGAACAUGUAUCCAGAAUUACAUAAUAAGCACUUACUACCUAACAAUAAUAAAAGAAACAACUCAAUUAAAAAUUCAUUAGAGAAUUUAAACAGGUAUUCAACACAAGAGAACAUAUAAGUUUUUAGUAAACCCAGGGCAAAUUCUUGAUAUCAGCAGUUAGGAAAAUGUAAAUAAAAUAAAAAUAAGAUGCCACUACAAAUUUACUAGUAACAAAAGUCUUUGUUAAAAAGACUGAUAAUAUCGAGUCCUGGUAAGAAUGUGGAACAAAUGAAACUUACACAUUGAUGUUAGGAAUAUAAAAUUUGACUACUUUGUAAACCUGUAUAUUUAAAAAGUUAAACAUACAUUUACCCCAAGACCCAACAAUUUAAUACCCUUAUUAUUUACUUAGGAGAAUUAAAGUACACAUCUACAUGAAGAUCUGUAAACUUGAAUCUAUAGCAGCAUUAUUUAUACCUCAAAAUAGGAGGGAACCCAAAUAUCCCUCAACAGGUGAAUUUAAAAAAAAAACAGAUUAUAAUAUAUCUGCCCUAUAAAAUAUUACUCAGCAGUGCUAACAUACACAACAACAUAGAUCAAUCUCACAAUAUAAAUUAUGCUAGGAGAAAAAGUUAAAUACAAAAGACUGAAGUUUAUUUAUAUAAAAUUCUGGAAGAUGAAAAAUCUAGUGACAGAAAAUUAUUGGUUGCCUUAAGAUGAAAGUCAGGAGAGAGAAUCCACUGCAAAGGACCGAAGGAAACUUUUUCAGUAUCAAUAUGACAUCAUAGGCUGUGAUGGUUUGUGGAGUUGGGAAGAGAUGCUGGCAGUCUGCCACAGUGAGCUUUAUGACCAUCUCCAGUACAUCACGGAGUGGCACCUUCAACAACUACACCCAUUCUCUCCGUCACAGCAAACUCCCCAUCUUCGCGCCCCUUCAGGCCUAGGUGGACAAUAUAUUUUCUGAUAGGAUCUUACCUGUUCCAGUAAUUGAUACAAGGAAUGAUGUCAGAAAACAGACUUUCCCUACAGAUUCUGCAAUGGGAUUCUGCACAUGUUCAAGAAAUAAACAGAAAACAUUCCUAUCAGUGGAAAAAAUGGAAAUUGGUAAUCCAUGCUAUGCAUCAGCAUCACAUUCACAUUUUCAUGUGGUGGCUUGGAGGUAUCAACUAAUAUGUAGAUGACAAGCAUGGUAUUGGGGAAUUGUGGCUAUAGCAAUGUAAUAGCAAUUUGAUAACUAUGAAAACAAUACGAUUAUGCAAAUCAUGGCCCCAAAGAGCCUGUCUGUGGAAAAAAUCAUUGAAGCUCCUGAAUGUCCAAACUCAAAACACAAGUGUAAAUCCACAUUCCUUCCAAGGAAGCAAUAUCUUUGAGAACCUUAAUCCUAGCUGAGCUCUGUUGACCAUAUUUGACAAUAGGAGAUACUAUGAAUAAGCUGAGGUCUUAUUCCCCAAGACUGGGUAAUUUAUAAAGGAAAGAGAUUUAAUUGAUGUACAGUUCAGCAUGGCUGUAAGAAAACUCACAAUCAUGGCGGAAGGUGAAGAGGAAGCAAGGCACCUUCUUCACAAGGUGGCAGGAAGAAGUGAGAAGUAAAGGGGGAAGAGCUCCUUAUAAAACCAUCAGAUCUCGUGAGAACUUACUAUCAUGAGAACAGCAUGAGGCAAACCUCCCCCAUGAUUCAAUUACCUACACCUGGUCUCUCCCUUGACACGUGGGGAUUAUGUGGAUUACAGUUCAAGGUGAGAUUUGAGUGGGGACCCAAAGCCUAACUGUAUCAACUAAUGACAGAGAUUAAGUGGUUUGGGAAUUGCAGGAGCCUAGUGACAACAUUUAACCAACAGAUAAGGUGAGUAAAAUGACCAUAAUAAACCUCAUGACAGUAAAAGAAACAAGAGUGACUUAUCCUACAGGGAAGUAAUAUAUCAUAGUUUUUCUAGGAAUGAAAUACAAAGGCAGCCAACUAAGUUGUGAUUUGAUUAUAUAACCUGAAUAAUCAAAAGAUGACAAGCAAUAGAAAAUUGCAAUCUCUUAGACCCUUUUCAUGUAUAAGCCAGUUCUCAGCCCAGAGCUCAAUAGGAGGACUAGGUCACCUAGAAGAAGGACUGUGUAAUGCCAAUGCAAGUAUAUUCAAUGUAUGUUCCAUUGAGAUCCUUUACCAGAAUAAAUGUACACUGGAGAAAUUUGAUUACUCAUAUCUUUCAAGGGUUUUUAGUUCAGGGUCUAAGUUGGCAGUGAUAUUGCUGAUCUGAAACACAAUCAUAGCUCCUUGGCUUGAGAAAAGUGUUAUGGAAUUCAGGCUUGAGAAAGGUGUUAUGGAAUUCAGGCUUGAGAAAGGUGUUAUGGAAUUCAGGCUUGAGAAAGGUAUUAUGGAAUUCAGGUAAUAAAUGGAGUCCAGACCAAGUCACAGUGGCAAUUUCCAUGGAACUCACUUGUAACACUAGGAUGGAUAUACUUAGAAUCUUAUUAGUUCCUGACCUGUUAAGGGUGAGCCAUUGCAGAAUGAAAGACCAGCAGAAAACUCCAGCAUCAUCCCUCUUACCCUCAAGGCCAAGAUAGUCAAUAAAAAAGAGUACUGUACGUCAAGAAGAAUUGCAGGAAUUAUUGACAACUUCAAAGUUUUUGAGGAGUCAGAGGUAAUUGCUUUUAUGAUAUCUCUAUUUAGUUUACCUGUACGGCCCUUUCAAAACAUAGAUGGCCUAUACUGGGUAAUAGAGGAUUAAUAUAAACCUAAAGGAUGAUACCACAUGUGCAACUGCUUUGCUGGAUGUGUUUCUGGAAUAGAAUAUAACUUCUGGUACUUGGAUGUCACUAUUGAUGUAGAGAAUACAUUCUCUUCUAUCUCCAUCAAUAAAAAUGUAUCAGAAGUAAUAUAUUUUUGUAUCACUCUAUUCAUUGACAGUUUUGGACCAGGGGUAUGAAAAUGUCCUUGACUUUAUCUCAUUAUACCAUUCUGAGACCUUGAGUAUAUCUUAUAAUUUUAUGGGGCAUUACACUUGUCACUGUAUUCAUUUCAUUAUGCUAAUUUUACCUGGUCUGAAAUAAGGAGACUGGACACCCUAGUAAAUUACAUGUUUCCCAGAAGUGGUAAAUGAACUCCAGAAAGAUGACAGUCCUGCCACAUCAAUAAGGACUUGCUUCCUAAAACAAAGGAUAGGUUAUUGUUCUUCACAAAUCCUACCACUAAGGUAGAGUCAUAGACAUAGAACUUAGUAUUUUUUUUUUUUUUUUUAACAAUCAGAACUAUGGUUCUAGUGCAGUGCAAACUUCCCUGGACAUUAGCCACCUGGCUGUUAAAUAUAGUGGUGUCAGAAGUAUCCAAGAUGGAUAAAGAUGUUGCAUGUAUUUCAGGGUCAGGCCAUCUGCAGAAGAGAACUAAGCACUCUCGGAAAACCACAUUCUUAUGUGCUACAGAGCCCAGCAGAAAAAGAAACACUGCAUGUGGAACAUCUGUUGACUAUACAGAAAGAGCAGGUAUCCAGGAGUGAGGUCAAACAUAUGCAAUAUACUUUUAUUGCAUAAUUGAAAUGGUGCAUUUGGAUUUGGAAAUUCGCAGGUCUAGAACAAAAAAUAAUUUACGUGAAGAGGUGUAAAUUCCUGAAAAGUGCAACAUUGGGAUAUCUAAUAAGAGCAAGUUUGGGCUUCAGUGAGGAAACAAUAAAAAUUUUGCAGAAGAAGCACAUGAAUAGAUCAUGAGAGUGGGCAAACAGCGUAAGAAACUGUGUCUCACGUUGAUAUCUACCUAAAAGUAUCCAAUACAGAGGAAGCACUUAAAAAUAAGAGAAAUAAGUGGAAUCCUUGUAAGGAUAUAAAACACAAUUUGUCUCAGCCACUCAGCCGUCCAACUUGAACAAUGAGCCCAUUAAGAGAACAGGACGAAAACAAGGUUUUCCUUUCUUUGUCAGAUCUCACUACUGCCAUUGCUGAUAGUCCAGCCUGCCAACAUCAGAGACAAACAUAGAGCACUCAAUAGAGUAGCGUCAACUAAUGGGACAUGUCAAUCACUUAGCAAUAUAUUGAUUAUAUCAGACUUGUCCAAACAGUAGUCCAUUCUUAUUGGAAUAGGUGUUUCUCUAAGAUUUGGGUUUGCCUUUCUAGCCCCUGUGCCUUUGCUAGUACCAUCAUCCAGGGGUUUAUAUAAUGCCACGUUUACACCUUGGCACACAAUAUAAUAUUUACUUAAUCAAAGUAACCAUUUUCUUAUGGUGAGUACAAGUAUUCUUUUUAUUAUGAUUAUGAUUAUUUAAACUAUGAAUAUACACCUUAUACUGGUCUUUGUAUGUGUAAUACAUAUUUGUAUAUGUAUAAUAUACAAAUAUAUAAUAUAUCUUUGUGUUUGUAUAAUAUGGAUUAUUAUAUUUGUAUAUGUAUAAUAUAUGAAUAUAUAAUAUAUAUUUAUAUUUUUAUAUGUAUAAUAUGGAUUGACAAUAUGUUUUAAUCGUCAAUAUGAAUAAAAUAAUAAAGAUGAAUAAAAUAAUAAUAAACCAAAUAUAUAUGUAGGGUUAUG